rnacentral:rRNA from 1 species
UACGAAGGGGGCUAGCGUUGCUCGGAAUCACUGGGCGUAAAGCGCACGUAGGCGGACUAUUAAGUCAGGGGGUGAAAUCCCGGGGCUCAACCCCGGAACUGCCUUUGAUACUGGUAGUCUCGAGUCCGGAAGAGGUGAGUGGAAUUCCGAGUGUAGAGGUGAAAUUCGUAGAUAUUCGGAGGAACACCAGUGGCGAAGGCGGCUCACUGGUCCGGUACUGACGCUGAGGUGCGAAAGCGUGGGGAGCAAACAGG